UUACUUACCUGGACGGGCUCAAUGAGUGAUCCAAAAGGCUCAUGGGCUAAGUUGGCAAUCUCCAUUGCACUUUGGAGAGGUGCCCACUUAAGGUCGGCUCAAGUGGUCGAGCCUACGUCAUAAUUUGUGGUAGUGGGGGCCUGCGUUCGCGCGGCCCCUUC